UACGUAGGGUGCGAGCGUUAAUCGGAAUUACUGGGCGUAAAGCGUGCGUAGGUGGUGAGUUAAGUCUGUCGUGAAAGCCCCGGGCUCAACCUGGGAAUGGCGAUGGAUACUGGCUCGCUAGAGUGCGGUAGAGGGUGGUGGAAUUCCCGGUGUAGCAGUGAAAUGCGUAGAGAUCGGGAGGAACAUCAGUUGCGAAGGCGGCCACCUGGACCAGCACUGACACUGAGGCACGAAAGCGUGGGGAGCAAACAGG
rnacentral:rRNA from 1 species